rnacentral:tRNA from 1 species
AUGUGUAGCCAAGGGGUAUGGCAACGGGCUUUUAAUCCGUAUACCGCAGGUUCGAAUCCUGUCACAUGC